rnacentral:rRNA from 1 species
CGGGGACGAUAAUGACGGUACCCGGAGAAGAAGCCCCGGNUAACUUCGUGCCANCAGCCGCGGUAAUACNAAGGGGGCUAGCGUUGCUCGGAAUUACUGGGCGUAAAGGGAGCGUAAGCGGACNUUUAAGUCAGGGGUGAAAUCCCGGGGCUCAACCUCGGAAUUGCCUUUGAUACUGGGUGUCUUGAGUAUGANAGAGGUGUGUGGAACUCCGAGUGUAGAGGUGAAAUUCNUANAUAUUCGGAAGAACACCAGUGGCGAAGGCGACACACUGGCUCAUUACUGACGCUGAGGCUCGAAAGCGUGGGGAGCAAACAGGAUUAGAUACCCUGGUAGUCCACGCCGUAAACGAUGAUUGCUAGUUGUCGGGAUGCAUGCAUUU